rnacentral:lncRNA from 1 species
UUCAAAGGCAGCAAGACCUGUAAAAUCACUCGCUGUUCCACGUAACGAGCAAAUUGGUACAACAUUCUGCAAAGGCCCAGGACUCCUCCAUCUUUCGUAACAACAAGAGAACGCAUUUCAUCUUACUAGCUAAAAGUGAGAGUUCUUGUCUGCAUAGAAAUCAGCCGCUUUGCUUUCCUGACACUCCUACCGUGAAACUCUGUAGUGUGUUAAAAUCUUUGAUGCAACAAUUUCAGUCACAGGUCACUCUGCAUGUAAGUUGGAAGAGAGGUGAGGAAGCCAGCUAUUCACACUGCCAGGCAGUCAUUUCACCUUGGAAGGUGCCAGCCCUGGGUUUACGUGGGAUGUAUAUGCUGUUACUUGUUGCUGCUCAACCGAGACCAGUAUAAAAUCAAAUAACACUGGACUUUCAAAUUUAAUGGAUAUCUGAAAUUUAA